ensembl:lncRNA
UUAACUAAUUAUGUAAUUUUUUUUCAAGGCAUGAAGAUCAUGGCCUGUUCGAGGGUGUCUUUGUCUGUAAAGAUGAAGAUGUUUCCAAGUUUGUGGACUACAUUAAUGCUAAGACAAAGCACGUAAGUUAUAUUGUUGUUUUGUCUUGGUGCAGUCUAAAAUUGUAUUCCCCCCAAAAAUAAAAAAAUCUUGCAUGGCUUAGACUAGAGUAAGGCAAAAAUUCAAAAGAACUUGUGGUCAUUUGAAAUGUGUCCUCCUUUUGGCCUUUUUUGUACAAAUUUCUGUUUCCUAUUGACAUUUAUCCAUAUAUGUAAUUUAAUACAAUGUUGUUGAAUCAUAAAAUUUCUUUUACUUUGUUCUAAACUUGAUAGUCAGCUGGAAAAGGUGUCUGUGGAUCAAGUCAAUGGAGUGCAGCACGGGAGUCUGUCCCAAAGAAAAUCAACAAGCUGGAUGAGGAGGGGAUGGAGGUGGCUGUCUGUCGACAUGGUGUGCUCCUGAGAAGUCUGAACAUGAUGAGGGGGGAAAUAUUUGCGUAUCCCCUGUUUCUCCAAAAAGAGCUGACUGCAAAGAAUGUGCAGUUCAUGUGCACUGAUGUUAUAUGCAAGUACUGGCCAUACCUGCAGAGAAUUGUUAAAGAUUGUCCAGAGCUCUCUCCUCUCCUGGACAUGAAGCCUUUCCUGUCAGUGAUGCAUGCAAAGGCCCACUCUUGGAAAUGUGAGAUUAAAUGGGGUGGUCGAAACCAAGAAGGAGCAGGCACCACCCUGGGGGAAGAGGUCGAACAAGUUAACAGCUUUUUGUCGAGAACUGCUAUAUGCAGUAAAUACAUGACCAAAGGAGGCAAGUAUAUAACUGCAAAGAUAUACAAUCCAAAGUUAGAAGUCAAAGCUACUUACAAAAAAAAUAUUUGAACAGCCUUAGUAUUCAACUUUUGCAUGAUCCUGUGUCAUCCACAUCGUUGUUAAUGCAAGCCCAAGACCAUCUUCAUAUCAGCCUUUAAAAAAAUGAUAAAGUGAAAAAGUAUGCAACAUUUAGGGGAGCUAUUGAUUAUUUAUAUUAUUAUUAUUUUUAUUUUUAUUUAUUUUUUAGCCAGAACAGACAUGAUUACAAUCCAGGCCAUGGCAUGGAAUCAGCGCAAAAUACGGAAACUUGCAAAAGCGCUGUCCCUAAGAUUUAAAAAGGUAUAUUUCUAAAUUACUUUUCUCUUUUAUAGGUGAAAGCUUUCGUUUCUUUUAAUGUUUAAUUUGGCUGUAGUGUUUGUUGUGCAAACAAGUAGGCAAGCUGUGUAGAACAACCACUAGAAAGUCAAAAGCAUGAAUUUCAAAACAAAGUUUACUUAUGAAAAUGUUAUACACUUUUCCAUUUGAAAAGGCUCAUUAGUCCUNAUAUAAGCUUCAUCCUUAUACCUCUGAUGUAAUAAUAAUGCACAUAUUUAUUUCUAUUGUAAAUGCAUUUCUUAUCAAUAAUUUAGCAACAAGUGAGGAGAACACAGACAGUCAGCAGGUGCUCCAGAAGACUAUUGAGACGCUUUAUGUGAGCAUCAGGCAGAGAAAGCAAGAUCUUUACCGUCAAUCAGGUUAGAUAACUUUAAACAUUAAAUCAUUUUUAAAGGUUUUAAAGACCAAUUCACACUGCACAGAUAAACACCAACAAGCAUGUUUGUUGUGUUUUGUCGGAUCAGUGGUGUCUGUUGACAUUAAUCAGGGUUUUUUCUCACCUGACUGAACAUGUUCAAUCAGCAUCUGUUGGGAGAGUGUAAACAUGGCGAGGCCAGAGAUGUGAACAAUUUAUUUUUCAGAAAAUUCUGAAUCCAAAAGCAAAUAAAUAUUUUGCAAAUAAAUUUCUCA